rnacentral:misc_RNA from 1 species
GAAAUGCGAUACGCAAUGCGAAUUGCAGAACCGUGAGUCAUCAGAUUUUUGAACGCAAGUGGCGAUAGUUUCAUACUAUCAUGUUUGUUUCAGUGUGUCCGGUUAAUAACAUCAUAGAGUAUAAUGUGAUUGAAAACUUCUCUCACAAAAUACGAAGCAAUGUCAAUUGAAACAUUUAGCGAAGUAGUCACUAAUUUGUGAUAAUCGUUUUAGUGUGAAAAUUGGUGAAUCAUUGCUACUAAAAUAUUUAUCCAAUAUGAUGCCUGAAAUAAGCAAGAUUACCCGCUGAACUUAA